rnacentral:rRNA from 1 species
AUGAACGCUAGCGGGAGGCCUCACACAUGCAAGCCGAGCGGUAUUGUUUCCUCGGACCUGCGAGAGCGGCGUACGGGUGCGUAACACGUGUGCAACCUGCCUUUAUCUGGGGGAUAGCCUUUCGAAAGGAAGAUUAAUACUCCAUAAUAUAUUGAACGGCAUCGUUUAAUAUUGAAAGCUCCGGCGGAUAGAGAUGGGCACGCGCAAGAUUAGCUAGUUGGUGAGGUAACGGCUCACCAAGGCGAUGAUCUUUAGGGGGCCUGAGAGGGUGAUCCCCCACACUGGUAAUGAGACACGGACCAGACUCCUACGGGAGGCAGCAGUGAGGAAUAUUGGUCAAUGGGUGCAAGCCUGAACCAGCCAUCCCGCGUGAAGGACGACUGCCCUAUGGGUUGUAAACUUCUUUUGUAUAGGGAUAAACCUACCCUCGAGAGGGUAGCUGAAGGUACUAUACGAAUAAGCACCGGCUAACUCCGUG